AGAGUUGAGGGAAGGAUUGGGGCUCCCAGAGUGGUUAGCAAUACUACCAGGAGGACCAAUAGAGUCAACUAACCUAGAACUUUGGUGACUUUCAGAGACUGAACCACCAACUAAAGAGCAUGCAGGGGCUGGAACGAGGCCCCUUGCACAUACGUAGCAGUUGUGGAGCUUGGUCUUCAGGAAGAAACCACUGCCUGGGCUCAUAUUGGUGUGCAGUGAUAAUCUUUCUAGAAAGUUCGGGCUUCCUGCAGCUGUCGCCUUACUCCAGGAAGCUGUGAUGCUCCGGUUAUUCCCACAAAGCUCUGAGAACAGUCUGGUGACUGCCUUGCCUCUUGUUGCCUGCAAACCUCUAGCAGAGCAUUGCAUCUGUAGCGAGGAUAAAUUCCUCCUCCUUCCUGGGUUUGGUCUUUGAGCCGCUGCUAGCCCAACUUUUAGCUGGUUUCAGCCCCUUUUCUCGAACAAAAUAAAGUUCUAAACUCC
rnacentral:lncRNA from 1 species